GAAAAAAACUCUAUGCUCUCAGGGUAGUGAGAGCAACCGAGGCACGGAGGAGAGCCACAAUGGAUAAACUAACGGGCCACGGGAGGACCGCGCUUUGAUUUAUAAUCCGUCGAGAGAUACCAUCUCGUAUGCCAUCCACGAGAGACAAGUGAAAUAACGGUUAAGGGAUCUCACAACCUCGGAAAUAAACCACCAAUUCGACAUGGAUCGGUUUGAGCAUCGACAGCGCCUUUUAGAAACUGGCUGCCUCCACCUGCUUCGAAGGCGGAUUUUGGAUAAGAAGCGUUUAUCGUUUUCUGUACUGUCCUCUCUUCAUAGGUAAAUCAUCUGAUUUAAUUUCCUCGGUAAAAACCUAUUCUAUAGGCUAGCCAUAUGCUUCUCAUCCUAUACCGGAACCCUUACUGCUGCCUUCCACGCGGGUGCGCCGCCCUCCAUUGGAUGGCAAAAGAACCAGGAAAAAAUUCCUCGCAUUGAAAAGCCAAUACAUCAGUGCCUUUCCGGUUGAUCCAGUGCCCUUGUCACUGCAGUGGCUGCCUGAGAUACACCCACAAACUCUGCAGUGUGAACAGCACAAGCUGUCUACUAUAUGUGACUGCCAGCCAUUCACACCAGGUCUGGAUUGAGCGAGGGAAAAGUGGCACAGUCGUCACAAAAAAAGGAGAAAGCAGGAGGGGAAGAAAAAGGCCAACCCCCUUGUCCCUCUUCCCUUAAAUCUCCAUCACCGGAAGCCUUUGGUGCCAUCUGUGCCCCCGGAGAAAAGGACGGACGACAUGCCUCCACCCUGUGCCAACGGGGACAAAGGAGCUGCCAGUUAGAGCGGCCCCCCUCGCAGGCAGCCAGAGGACUCUGUGUGACUGACUGGGGUUGAGCUACGGAAGCCAUCUUGAUGGAGAGUCUUGCUGCUGCUCCUAAAAUGGCUGUGUUGGCAUGAGGUCCUGCUGGUGUUGACAACCUCCAGAGGAAGCCUCUUCCAUCAGCCCUGAGCCCUGAGCCCUGGGCCCUGAACCCUGAACCCUGAGCCCUGGGCCCUGAACCCUGAGCCCUGAGCCCUGGGCCCUGAGCCCUGGACCCUGAACCCUGAGCCCUGGGCCCUGAACCCUGAGCCCUGAUCCCUGGGCCCUGAGCCCUGGGCCCUGAACCCUGAGCCCUGGACCCUGGGCCCCGAGCCCUGGCAGUCGGUUUAGACGCAUCAGCGGGAAUAGCAUGUCAGAUCCCAGGAUGUCACGCAAGGCCUUCCUCAUUGGCAUCCUCUCCAGUCAAACACUGAGAAAUUAGGGCACUGAAGAAUCCCCCCUAAAGUUAAUGCUUGGAGAGAUUUACUGUAAGGACAAUGUUUGGAGUUAUUUGAAGACAUUGUUUGCAGAAGUUGCACACGGAUCAUCUGCAGAUAUAUUGCACUUGGGUAAUGAAUGUUCUCUUUUCCCUGGCUGAGAGUGUAUAGUUUCAAUAUAACUUUUAACAUUACAGCACAAUGUUAGACAAUGUGUGUAUGAUGUGAAAUCAAAAGGGAUGAGAUCAACAUGUGUUCUUAAUCUAAGUGUGUGUGUGUGGUGCGUGUGCGUGUGCGUGUGUGUGUGUGUGUGUGUGUGUGUGUGUGUGUGUGUGUGUGUGUGUGUGUGUGUGUGUGUGUGUGUGUGUGUGUGUGUGUGUGUGUGUGUGUGUGUGUGUGUGUGUGUGUGUGUGUGUGUGUGUGUGUGUGUGUGUGUGUGUGUGUGUGUGUGUGUGUGUGUGUGUGUAGUUUGGCCCCUAUUGUACUCUUUAGAGUACGCUGGAGUGUACUGGGCUUCAGAGAAGCACUACAGUGCCCUAAUGUGUGGGCUGCUUACAAGAGAAGCUCUCUGGAUGUCUAUCCUCUGUCAUGUGCAAUUAGUUACUUUAUGAAUAGAACUGACUACUCUAUGCAAAUAAAUGUGAAUGACUCACCCUCUGGCUGUAUUGCAAAUGUUGUUUAAUGUUUGACUGUCACAGUGAAAAGAAAGACAUUGUUUGGUGAAGAUUCCAUCCAUUUACUAUAUCCAUCAAAUUCUGCAUUUUUCCAAUUACAAAUAUUAUCUGCAUGUGUUCAUAGUGAUCAGGGAAUGUUCUACAUUAAAUGUGUUGGAUACAGUAUUGAAGCAGUCAGAUUAAUAGCCGUCUCAUUGCCUGAUUGUUAUUAUUAUCCUUAUUCAGAGAGAUAGACAGUUUUGAACAUACCUGCAAUAAAGAAACUUACUUGUACAUACUUGUACACUAAAGUCAUACAAAACAUGUUUUUGUAAUUGAGUUCUGACUUGUCAUAACUUCUGUGCUGUUUGAAUUGAAUGUGUAUACAGAAUAAAUAAUUCAACAGAUG